CAAAGACUUUCAUUUAAACAGGAAAGAUGUCCUAGAAGGACCCAAAUGGAGAAAGGGAAGUAAGGAAAACCAAGGGCAGGGCAGGGCUUUUGUGCAGCCUAGUGAGGAAGGAUCUCUUGGUUAAGGUGAGGGCUAUGAAGAUCAGGGUCUCCCUCCUUGCUUCCCCCCUUUUUUGUGCAAACAGGAUGUGGCCAUGCAGCACUGGGACGUGACUGCUGGUACAGAAGUACACAGAUGUCUGGUUGGCACUGGUAGACACCAGGGUCAGGGGAAAAUACUGUGUUUCACUUCGAGAGACAAGAUGGCCCUCAGGGACUUUUCCCUUUUCGAUGCUGCCAGUUCCAGCACCCUUGAUUCCUGUGUUGCAAGAAGGAAAAAAAAAAAAAGGUCAAAUAAGGACAAAGCCUGGGGAGUGGAGGCUGAUGCUACAGUCACAAAGAGGUGUUCUGUAGUGGGAGCCUGGAAAGCAACGAAAGGGCUUCCUCAUCUGGGCCACCACUCACCUGCCUUCAGGACACAGAUGAACAUGCCGCACAGGAGCUUGGCGCACAUGGCAGCAUCAGAUGCAGAAAGCCUGGCACUGUGAUGAAUUGAAUUCCUGGUACCAACACUUCCUUCUACUUCCUGGCCCAGAGAGACCACUCCCUCCUCUCACACAGUGUCAGAGACUUUGAAGAUUGCGGUUGAUCAUCUCUCAACAGCAAGAGGUUAUGGAAGAGAAAUCUGAAGAGAAAGAUGAGAAAAAGGUGGAGAAAUCCUUCACUUCAAAUGAGAUUAGAGAAAUAUGUAAAAUGUGGGAAACAGUCCAAAAUUUUGUAGAAAACACCACCCAAAUAAGUCCAUAGUGGUGCAAAUGAUGAAAUCUGCUGAACAACAAUGCAAUGUCACAUUCCUCCAAAAUACUCAAAAGCAGGUAAAAGCAAGUGUCAUUCGAUAGGUUCCAUGUUAAAGUUCCAAGAAAAGAAAGAUUCCAGUGAGCCAAAUGAUAGCAGUGAUUCCUUUAGUGACAGUGAAAGUCAUCCUACACAAUAACUCUCUUCUCUCUUGUCUCCCUCAUUCCAGCCAUGAAGGUUUUCAAAGAUAAUGAACUGGAUUGGAGCAGGAGAAGGACCUCAGAUAUGUGAUCCAUUUGGAAGAUGUUAAAGAUUAUUCAAGAAGGGGACAUAGUUGCCUAAAGUUAGGGUCAGAAAAUGGUGGAAUUUGAGAACAUUUAAUAAGUAGAUAUUUAAAAGAUCUGAUAGGAAGAAAAGGGGCAAAGGGGAAGGGGAAGUGGGCGGGGUAAAGGAAAGGAAAGGAAAGAAGGGAAUGGAAUUAAUAUGAGAAAAUGGAAAAAUGGAAACAAAAUCUUUGUAAAUAGGGAGGGAUGGAGGGGUUGAAGGGAGCACAGAGGAAGGGGGAAAAAUAAGAACCAAGAGAGAUUAUGUAAAGGUGCAAAUUUCCAAUGAUGAAUGUCAUUAUAUUGUAUACCUAAAAUGUACCAAUGAUUAAAAUGAAUUAUUGAUAAUGUGAAAUAGGAAAAAAAGGUCCAAAG
rnacentral:lncRNA from 1 species